CCUGGCAAGGCUCCGAGGCUGC
rnacentral:siRNA from 1 species